GAAUGAUUAGAGUCAAGCACUUAGAGUGUUCCAGCUAUGGCUGCGUUGAAUAUGGAAUGGUCACAGGAAUAAAAUCUUUUUGGUUUAUAUUUCAAGUCUAAUAAGACAUUGCCAGCUUUAAUGUCAUGAUGAAUAAUACGCACUUGACAAUCCAUGUGCAGGUACUCCAAACCUUCAGCUGUUCCUGUGAUAAUUAGGAGCCUCUUUAUCCAGGUGAGUUCUUUCUUCUUUUCUGGAUCUUUCUUCCAUGGGUUGCACAAAAAAUCUUUUAGAUUGUUUAAGAAAGUACUGACAUGGAUAUAUAACUAAUCGAACUAACUAAUUAAUUAUAACCACAUAGCAAUAAUGACUCUUUUAAUAUGUUCUCAGAGUUCAAAUCUAAUGUUGAUAGCUUACCAAAUAAUAUGAUAUCAAGGUUUCUGUUAGCCAGGCAUUCACAGACAAGAAAGCUAUCAACACCAGCGAAACAGCAACCGAGGAAUCAAACCAAGUUCUUGUGUUUUGCUCUGCUGAUAAUGUCCAUUUCAUUGCAAAUCUCUAAAAUUCUACUAUCUCUCUUGGCAUAUAAACGCUUUACUGCAAUUGCUCUGCCAUCUGCUAGGUUGCCCUUGUAUACUUCACCAAACCCUCCUUCCCUGCGAACUUGGAAAUUUUCUGUUGCUUUCUUUAUUGUUGCAUACUUGAACUGCAAGAACUGCAGCCUCGCACCUUUUAAAUUUUUUAUCCCAUUCUUUCUUCUAUAGGUGUGUUCGCCCACAUAAACCCCAAUCCCAAUUGCAAUAAGCAGACUGUAACCACUCGCAUUGUAAAUGUGAUGUAUCACAAUAUCUGUUCUCUGGUUUUGCCAGUAGAUUCAUUGGCAAAUGAAAAAUCUGCACAACGAAGAAAGCAGCCAGCAUUAAGGACACGUGCCUCUGUAGAAGGAAGGCAAGAUAAGGCAGAUGAGGCUGCACGAGAAAGUCAAGCAUGGCACAAAUCUUUGCCCAGAAUCUUCCAGCAACUUGCCAUUCCAUAGGAAGUUAUGCCUUUUGUAGUCUCAUGCUUCACUGCAAAGCCUCGCCAAACUGGUCCUGUGAAUGGUGCCUUCAAAAGAAUUUUGUCGAGCACUCUCACUACUACCUCUCUGAAAUCCUUUCCGGGGUUUACAUCAGUGCCGCAUCUCUAAUUCCAUUCGGUGCCCAACAAAGGAAAUACAGUAUUGUAUAAUUUUCAAAUUAUUGCCAUUAGGAGGGU
rnacentral:misc_RNA from 1 species